rnacentral:rRNA from 1 species
GUGUCUGCAGCCGCGGUAAUACGGAGGAUGCAAGCGUUAUCCGGAAUGAUUGGGCGUAAAGCGUCCGCAGGUGGCUGUGUAAGUCUGCUGUUAAAGCGUCUGGCUUAACCAGAUACAAGCAGUGGAAACUACACAGCUAGAGUGCGUUCGGGGCAGAGGGAAUUCCUGGUGUAGCGGUGAAAUGCGUAGAUAUCAGGAAGAACACCGGUGGCGAAAGCGCUCUGCUAGGCCGCAACUGACACUGAGGGACGAAAGCUAGGGGAGCGAAAGGGAUUAGAUACCCCUGUAGUCCUAGCUGUAAACGAUGGAGACUAGGUGUGGCCUGUAUCGACCCGGGCCGUGCCGGAGCUAACGCGUUAAGUCUCCCGCCUGGGGAGUACGCACGCAAGUGUGAAACUCAAAUGAAUUGACGGGG